rnacentral:lncRNA from 1 species
GAUUCCUCGAAAAGAGGCUGUACAGCAGCCUUUACUGAGGCAGUGUCAAAAUACUAUAGCUUCCCCAAAUUUGGUAAAAUAAACUUGUCUGAAGUCCAGGGUCAGGAAGCCAUUGGACCAGCAAAGACCUGUCUUCUCAUGAUUGCUCGUAGGAGAGAAACGAAGGGAUAGCCACCAAUUUAUGUGUUGGUGCUAAGUGUUAGGUGCUGUGCUACUGGAACCAUUUAAAAAUAAAUCAUCAGAUAUAGAUUUUAUUUUCUAUAUAGUUAUUCCAGAUCUCAAGGCACUUACAAUUUAGCUGGGAAUAAAAGACAACAGAAAACUUCGAAAUGCAGCAAGUGCUCCUCAAACGCUAAAUUGGGAGCUUUGGGACCUUCAAGGGGAAAUCAACAAAGGCUGAGUGGAUACUGAAGAUGAGGCAGUCUCACGAUAAACAGGCUCACGCAACACUUCGGUGAAAACGCAAGGUCAAACAAGUCCUCUGAUUUAAGUGUCAGUGGGACUUCUGGGGAUAUACUUUUCCGCCAACUAAAGGAUGAGAACUUGAGGAGUUUUCUGUGACAUCUAGUAAAUGACAUCUGUCGCCAAGCUGGCAUUCAGCACGGAACAAAGGAAGGAAAAGACUGAACUGAAGAAUCCCAAGAGUCAAGACUCUCUGAGUGAGCACAGAAGAGAUCACAUGUUCUGUGGCUUCUUUGAAAUGGCCUGAGAACCUCAGAGAAGGGCCAUGCUUGUAGUCUGGAGCCAGAAGACCCAGGGGACCAGAGCCUAGGUCUUAAGGCCUGCUGCACCUGUACCAGCCUGGGAAUACCGUCAGUGUAGACUCUCUCUUCUCUAAUAAAAAGUUCAAUUACUG